rnacentral:rRNA from 1 species
UACAGAGACCUCAAGCGUUAUCCGGAAUCAUUGGGCGUAAAGCGUACCGAUCGGUGGUUUUACAAGUCAGAGGUGAAAUCCCAAGGCUCAACUUUGGGACUGUCCUUUGAAACUGUACAACUAGAGGGGCAAAGAGGAAGCUGGAACGAACGGUGUAGUAGUGAAAUGCGUUGAUAUCGUUCGGAACACCAAUAGCGUAGGCAGGCUUCUGGGUGCCACCUGACACUGCUAGGACGAAAGCGUGGGGAGCGAAUGGG